rnacentral:rRNA from 1 species
GGCGGCGUGCCUAACACAUGCAAGUCGAGCGGGGACAUACGACGGAUUGGAAGUUUUCGGACGGAAGAGAAGAUGUAUGUUCUAGCGGCGGACGGGUGAGUAACGCGUGAGCAACCUGUCCUUCACAGGGGGAUAACACAGCGAAAGUUGUACUAAUACCGCAUAAGACCACGGCCGGGCAUCCGGAAGAGGUCAAAGGAGCAAUCCGGUGAAGGGUGGGCUCGCGUCCGAUUAGAUAGUUGGUGAGGUAACGGCCCACCAAGUCAACGAUCGGUAGCCGACCUGAGAGGGUGAUCGGCCACAUUGGGACUGAGACACGGCCCAAACUCCUACGGGAGGCAGCAGUGGGGAAUAUUGGGCAAUGGGGGAAACCCUGACCCAGCAACGCCGCGUGAGGGAAGAAGGUUUUCGGAUCGUAAACCUCUGUCCUUGGUGAAGAGAAAGAGACGGUAGCCAAGGAGGAAGCCCCGGCUAACUACGUGCCAGCAGCCGCGGUAAUACGUAGGGGGCGAGCGUUGUCCGGAAUGAUUGGGCGUAAAGGGCGCGUAGGCGGCCAUGUAAGUCUGGAGUGAAAAGUCCUGUUUUUAAGAUGGGAAUUGCUUUGGAUACUGUAUGGCUUGAGUGCAGGAGAGGUAAGUGGAAUUCCCAGUGUAGCGGUGAAAUGCGUAGAGAUUGGGAGGAACACCAGUGGCGAAGGCGACUUACUGGACUGUAACUGACGCUGAGCGCGAAAGUGUGGGGAGCAAACAGGAUUAGAUACCCUGGUAGUCCACACUGUAAACGAUGAAUGCUAGGUGUAGGGGGUAUCGACCCCUUCUGUGCCGCAGUUAACACAAUAAGCAUUCCGCCUGGGGAGUACGGCCGCAAGGUUGAAACUCAAAGGAAUUGACGGGGGCCCGCACAAGCAGCGGAGCAUGUGGUUUAAUUCGACGCAACGCGAAGAACCUUACCAGGUCUUGACAUCCAGGUAAAGCCG